rnacentral:rRNA from 1 species
CCUACGGGAGGCAGCAGUAGGGAAUAUUGCUCAAUGGGGGAAACCCUGAAGCAGCAACGCCGCGUGGAGGAUGAAGGUUCUCGGAUUGUAAACUCCUUUUGUUAGAGAAGAUAAUGACGGUAUCUAACGAAUAAGCACCGGCUAACUCCGUGCCAGCAGCCGCGGUAAUACGGAGGGUGCAAGCGUUACUCGGAAUCACUGGGCGUAAAGAGCGCGUAGGCGGGAUAGCAAGUCAGAUGUGAAAUCCUAUGGCUUAACCAUAGAACUGCAUUUGAAACUGUUAUUCUAGAGUAUGGGAGGGGUAGGUGGAAUGCUUGGUGUAGGGGUAAAAUGCGUAGAGAUCAAGGGGAAUACUCAUUGCGAAGGCGACCUGCUAGAACAUAACUGACGCUGAUGCGCGAAAGCGUGGGGAGCAAACAGGAUUAGAUACCCGAGUAGUC